UACCCUAACCCACACUGCAGCCCCACACCCCAAUUACCAUUCUCCAUUGCAAAAAACAAAAGAAGAAACCUAACAUCCCCUUCAAUUUUCCCCACGCAUGUCACGAUCUCCCCACACCCUUCAUCUUUGCUAUCAAGGGCAGCAAAACUGUGUUCCUCUCCCUUGACCCACUCCAACCUCUGUCCUUCUUUAAUUAGUUGUGUCGCCCACACGUUCAGAGUGGAGUUGCGACUGUAGCACCCAAGCAUGGUGGAGAUGAUGUGUGGCGUGGUGUUGUGUCGUAAUUGAAAGGUAUGUCUUUGAUGGGGAAGCCCUUGGCGCAAAGGAUCUGUUGUGGCUCGUUAAUUUUUCGUUGAUUUAGUGAGAAAUUGAGAAGAAUGGAGUUGUCCUUGCAAUAUCUAGAGCAUAUUGCUGUUCAAAUCAGAUUGCUGCAGCGCAUGGAAGGAUACUAUGCCAGAUGAUGCACAAGAAAGAUGCAAAUGGAUAUAUUUGGAGUUGAUCUUUCAAAUGUUUUCUGCUACUAGCUAUUUCGGGUAUUAUGAUGUUGAUGGGAGCAAUCCAUUUGAUUCAUUAUAGUGGCUAAUUCAUGAUUUUCAGGCAACUGCAUACUGUUGUCAAAUUCAGACCAUUUGACAGGUUGACAUAUUGGUGUCUUCUAUUUGAUUCUAGUUAUCUGCAGCUAUAGGGAGUCUUAGGAGGAUUUAGAUUUGAGAUUGUUAUUUAUUGUU